rnacentral:lncRNA from 1 species
UACUUAAAGUGAUUUGGGUAUGUGAAUCUGCCCUGAUCAUUUAAUGCUGGCCCUCUUGAUUAUUGACAUGGUGGUUUGCCCAGUGAUUUGGGCAAGCAGUGGGCAAAUCACUGGGCCAGAUCACUCUUCUUUUGCAAUUGCUGUACUGGUACUGUUCACGCCUUUUGCUGAUGGCGUGCUUGAUCUUGUGAUUGGACCGGUGAUCUGGUCAGUUUAUCUGGGCAAUUGGGCAAAUCACUGCCCCUAUCACUUGUGAUUAUGGUACCUUCAGUCGAUUUGCCCGGCGAUUUGAGCAAAACGUGGGCAAAUCACUGGGCAAAUCACUGCCUCUGGGCUGCCUCCCAGUAGCGCCCUGUUUUCUGUCUUGGG